rnacentral:lncRNA from 1 species
CCUAAAACGUAUUCUUGUAAAACUAACCUUUUGCGUGAGAUGUAUACGGCACAUAUAGAGGCCUUUCUGCCUGCUCUAAACCCUCGUCCAUGAAGCAUAACUCCACUUCCCUCGACCGUACAGCCCUUUAUAGCGAUAUUGAAUUAUUAAAGUGCCAAAGUGGACUUUAGGAAAUGCAAUUGAAUACCGAUGCGUGCUGAAUUCAAUGCGUUUGCAUGUUUGUCAUAUGCGAACUAUUGCGAAGGGAAUUCGACAUUUAGCUGCCCCAAAACGCUCUAAAACCCUAGCCAUAUUGCUAAGAAGCCUGAUUUUUGUACCAGAUCAUGCAUUAAACCCCUAACCCGACCGACAGAUAAGUAUAGAGGAAAAUGAUUCGCAUUCCUUUCCAAGGUAGCCGCAUAUCAUGAAUGCACCCUAGAGAAUUUCAAUACAUCCGGUCGCGAAUUGUCUGGAGCAAGCGCGCUAAAACAGUCAAAUUUAAACCAAUAAAACAUUAACCUACCGUUAUAAUUCGCUCUCUUAGCGUUCACAUAAUCUUCUCUGUCAGUUUCCAAAGCUCUCUUGUUCGUUUCAUAGCUUGGAUUGUUUGUAGUUUGGCUAUAAUCGACUGCAGUUUCGGACGGGUAAUAAGUUCCGUCAGCCAUCUUGUUUCGAGUGUCGAUAUUUCAAACAUGUGCCUCAUGCUGCGCAUGCGCUAUUGAGGUUCAAUUCCCAAGGGACGCCUU